rnacentral:rRNA from 1 species
CCGCUCGAGAGUUUGAUCCUGGCUCAGGACGAACGCUGGCCGGCGUGCUUAACACAUGCAAGUCGAACGGUGAAGCCCAGCUUGCUGGGUGGAUCAGUGGCGAACGGGUGAGUAACACGUGAGUAACCUGCCUCUGACUCUGGGAUAAGCCUUGGAAACGGGGUCUAAUACUGGAUACGAGACGCUCGGGCAUCCGAAGUGUCUGGAAAGAUUUAUCGGUCAGAGAUGGACUCGCGGCCUAUCAGCUUGUUGGUGGGGUAAUGGCCUACCAAGGCGACGACGGGUAGCCGGCCUGAGAGGGCGACCGGCCACACUGGGACUGAGACACGGCCCAGACUCCUACGGGAGGCAGCAGUGGGGAAUAUUGCACAAUGGGCGCAAGCCUGAUGCAGCGACGCCGCGUGAGGGAUGACGGCCUUCGGGUUGUAAACCUCUUUCAGCAGGGAAGAAGCGAAAGUGACGGUACCUGCAGAAGAAGCGCCGGCUAACUACGUGCCAGCAGCCGCGGUAAUACGUAGGGCGCAAGCGUUGUCCGGAAUUAUUGGGCGUAAAGAGCUCGUAGGCGGUUUGUCGCGUCUGGUGUGAAAACUCAAGGCUCAACCUUGAGCUUGCAUCGGGUACGGGCAGACUAGAGUGCGGUAGGGGAGACUGGAAUUCCUGGUGUAGCGGUGGAAUGCGCAGAUAUCAGGAGGAACACCGAUGGCGAAGGCAGGUCUCUGGGCCGCAACUGACGCUGAGGAGCGAAAGCAUGGGGAGCGAACAGGAUUAGAUACCCUGGUAGUCCAUGCCGUAAACGUUGGGCACUAGGUGUGGGGCUCAUUCCACGAGUUCCGUGCCGCAGCAAACGCAUUAAGUGCCCCGCCUGGGGAGUACGGCCGCAAGGCUAAAACUCAAAGAAAUUGACGGGGGCCCGCACAAGCGGCGGAGCAUGCGGAUUAAUUCGAUGCAACGCGAAGAACCUUACCAAGGCUUGACAUACACCGGAAACUUCCAGAGAUGGUUGCCCCGCAAGGUCGGUGUACAGGUGGUGCAUGGUUGUCGUCAGCUCGUGUCGUGAGAUGUUGGGUUAAGUCCCGCAACGAGCGCAACCCUCGUUCUAUGUUGCCAGCGGGUUAUGCCGGGGACUCAUAGGAGACUGCCGGGGUCAACUCGGAGGAAGGUGGGGAUGACGUCAAAUCAUCAUGCCCCUUAUGUCUUGGGCUUCACGCAUGCUACAAUGGCCGGUACAAAGGGCUGCGAUACCGCGAGGUGGAGCGAAUCCCAAAAAGCCGGUCUCAGUUCGGAUUGGGGUCUGCAACUCGACCCCAUGAAGUCGGAGUCUGCUA